AUUGAACGCUGGCGGCAGGCCUAACACAUGCAAGUCUAACGAGUGGCGGACGGGUGAGUAAUGUCUGGGAAACUGCCCGAUGGAGGUGUAUAACUACUGGAAACGGUAGCUAAUACCGCAUACCAUCGGAUGUGCCCAGAUGGGCUUAGCUAGUAGGUGGGGUAACAGCUCACCUAGGCGACGAUCCCUAGCUGGUCUGAGAGGAUGACCAGCCACACUGGAGCGUCGAAACGGUCCGGACUCCUUAGGGAGGCGGCAGUUGGGAAUUGUGCCCGAGGGGCGCAAGCAUGGUGCCGCCAUGCCGGGUGUAUGGAGAAGGCCUUCGGGUUGUAGGGGACGUUCAGCGAGGAGGCGUUACUCGCAGGAGAGGCACCGGCUAAUCCCGUGCCAGCAGCCGCGGUAAUAC
rnacentral:rRNA from 1 species